rnacentral:rRNA from 1 species
AGCGGCGGACGGGUGAGUAACGCGUGGGUAACCUGCCUCAUACAGGGGGAUAACAGUUAGAAAUGGCUGCUAAUACCGCAUAAGACCACGGUACUGCAUGGUACAGUGGUAAAAACUCCGGUGGUAUGAGAUGGACCCGCGUCUGAUUAGGUAGUUGGUGAGGUAACGGCCCACCAAGCCGACGAUCAGUAGCCGACCUGAGAGGGUGACCGGCCACAUUGGGACUGAGACACGGCCCAA